GUCCAUAAUGACUCUCGGCAACGGAUAUCUCGGCUCUUGCAUCGAUGAAGAACGUAGCGAAAUGCGAUACUUGGUGUGAAUUGCAGAAUCCCGUGAACCAUCGAGUCUUUGAACGCAAGUUGCGCCCGAAGCCAUUAGGCUAAGGGCACGCCUGCCUGAGUGUCACCAA
rnacentral:rRNA from 1 species